rnacentral:rRNA from 1 species
ACAAGGUUUCCGUAGGUGAACCUGCGGAAGGAUCAUUACCGAGAGUGCCCUUUUGGGGGCGACCUCCCACCCGUGAUUACAUACCGAUGUUGCUUUGGCGGGCGGCUUGCUCCGGCUUGCCACACGCCCGUCUGAGGCCCCAAAAACCUUUGUUUACUGUGAAGUCUUGAGUGAAACAACAAAAACUUCAAAAAACUUUCAACAACGGAUCUCUUGGUUCCGGCAUUGAUGAAGAACGCAGCGAAAUGCGAUAAGUAAUGUGAAUUGCAGAAUUCAGUGAAUCAUCGAAUCUUUGAACGCACAUUGCGCCCUUUGGUAUUCCGAGGGGCAUGCCUGUCCGAGCGUCAUUGCACCACUCAAGCUCCGCUUGGUAUUGGGAUACACCCCAGGGGUGGCCCCGAAAAGCAGUGGCGGUCCGGCGAGACUCUAAGCGUAGUARAUUUUAUUUUCCCGCUUUGGACGAUCGAGCCGUGGCCUGCCAGUGUCAACCGCGCUUGCUUCGCGCUCUCUAAUGGUUGACCUCGGAUCAGGUAGGGAUACCCGCUGAACUUAA